rnacentral:antisense_RNA from 1 species
CUUCACCGAGCCGAGCCACAGCGGGCGAUCCGCCGAGCGCUCCUGACCGUAGGCGGCCAACAGCGCCUGCGCCUC